rnacentral:misc_RNA from 1 species
AAAAACACUACUCACGCGCACCGCACCCUCCCAAUACACACACUCUCCCCCUCUCUGUUUCUCGCUAAAGCCCACGAAUCCACACUCCCCUUUGCUCUCUCCGUGAUCAUUUUCCGGCGAGAUCCCUGGUACUCCGUCGGAAAAUCCUGAUCGGAUCCGCCAUCUUUUUUUUUUGUUACUGGAUUCAGUUUCUCGUACCGAAAGAUCCAAUUAGAUGGCUCCGGUUUCGGCUCUCGCAAAGUACAAGCUCGUUUUCUUAGGAGAUCAAUCUGUCGGCAAGACCAGUAUUAUCACGCGAUUCAUGUAUGAUAAAUUCG